AUUGAACGCUAGCGGGAUGCCUUACACAUGCAAGUCGAACGGCAGCACGGACUUCGGUCUGGUGGCGAGUGGCGAACGGGUGAGUAAUGUAUCGGAACGUGCCCAGUAGCGGGGGAUAACUACUCGAAAGAGUAGCUAAUACCGCAUACGCCCUACGGGGGAAAGGGGGGGAUGGCAAGACCUCUCACUAUUGGAGCGGCCGAUAUCGGAUUAGCGAGUUGGUGGGGUAAAGGCCCACCAAGGCGACGAUCCGUAGCUGGUUUGAGAGGACGACCAGCCACACUGGGACUGAGACACGGCCCAGACUCCUACGGGAGGCAGCAGUGGGGAAUUUUGGACAAUGGGGGCAACCCUGAUCCAGCCAUCCCGCGUGUGCGAUGAAGGCCUUCGGGUUGUAAAGCACUUUUGGCAGGAAAGAAAUCGCAUAGGUUAAUACCCUGUGUGGAUGACGGUACCUGCAGAAUAAGCACCGGCUAACUACGUGCCAGCCGCCGCCGUAA
rnacentral:rRNA from 1 species